CUUGAGACCAGGAGGGCUGUAGUGUGCUAUAAUAAUCAGGUGUCUGCACAAAGUUCAGCAUCAAUAUGGUGACUUCCCGAGGUCAGGGGAUAACCAGGUUACCUUGGUAGGAGUGAACAGGCCCAGGUUGGUAGGAAAGUAGGUCAAAACUUCCAUGCUGAUCAGUAGCGUGACUGUGCCUGUAAAUAGCCAUUGCACUCAGCUCGCGUAACAUAG
ensembl:misc_RNA Metazoa_SRP Metazoan signal recognition particle RNA